rnacentral:rRNA from 1 species
AAAUUGAAGAGUUUGAUCAUGGCUCAGAUUGAACGCUGGCGGCAGGCCUAACACAUGCAAGUCGAACGGUAACAGGAAGCAGCUUGCUGCUUUGCUGACGAGUGGCGGACGGGUGAGUAAUGUCUGGGAAACUGCCUGAUGGAGGGGGAUAACUACUGGAAACGGUGGCUAAUACCGCAUAACGUCGCAAGACCAAAGAGGGGGACCUUCGGGCCUCUUGCCAUCAGAUGUGCCCAGAUGGGAUUAGCUAGUUGGUGAGGUAACGGCUCACCAAGGCGACGAUCCCUAGCUGGUCUGAGAGGAUGACCAGCCACACUGGAACUGAGACACGGUCCAGACUCCUACGGGAGGCAGCAGUGGGGAAUAUUGCACAAUGGGCGCAAGCCUGAUGCAGCCAUGCCGCGUGUAUGAAGAAGGCCUUCGGGUUGUAAAGUACUUUCAGCGGGGAGGAAGGUGUUGUGGUUAAUAACCGCAGCAAUUGACGUUACCCGCAGAAGAAGCACCGGCUAACUCCGUGCCAGCAGCCGCGGUAAUACGGAGGGUGCAAGCGUUAAUCGGAAUUACUGGGCGUAAAGCGCACGCAGGCGGUCUGUCAAGUCGGAUGUGAAAUCCCCGGGCUCAACCUGGGAACUGCAUUCGAAACUGGCAGGCUUGAGUCUUGUAGAGGGGGGUAGAAUUCCAGGUGUAGCGGUGAAAUGCGUAGAGAUCUGGAGGAAUACCGGUGGCGAAGGCGGCCCCCUGGACAAAGACUGACGCUCAGGUGCGAAAGCGUGGGGAGCAAACAGGAUUAGAUACCCUGGUAGUCCACGCCGUAAACGAUGUCUACUUGGAGGUUGUGCCCUUGAGGCGUGGCUUCCGGAGCUAACGCGUUAAGUAGACCGCCUGGGGAGUACGGCCGCAAGGUUAAAACUCAAAUGAAUUGACGGGGGCCCGCACAAGCGGUGGAGCAUGUGGUUUAAUUCGAUGCAACGCGAAGAACCUUACCUGGUCUUGACAUCCACGGAAGUUUUCAGAGAUGAGAAUGUGCCUUCGGGAACCGUGAGACAGGUGCUGCAUGGCUGUCGUCAGCUCGUGUUGUGAAAUGUUGGGUUAAGUCCCGCAACGAGCGCAACCCUUAUCCUUUGUUGCCAGCGGUUAGGCCGGGAACUCAAAGGAGACUGCCAGUGAUAAACUGGAGGAAGGUGGGGAUGACGUCAAGUCAUCAUGGCCCUUACGACCAGGGCUACACACGUGCUACAAUGGCGCAUACAAAGAGAAGCGACCUCGCGAGAGCAAGCGGACCUCAUAAAGUGCGUCGUAGUCCGGAUUGGAGUCUGCAACUCGACUCCAUGAAGUCGGAAUCGCUAGUAAUCGUGGAUCAGAAUGCCACGGUGAAUACGUUCCCGGGCCUUGUACACACCGCCCGUCACACCAUGGGAGUGGGUUGCAAAAGAAGUAGGUAGCUUAACCUUCGGGAGGGCGCUUACCACUUUGUGAUUCAUGACUGGGGUGAAGUCGUAACAAGGUAACCGUAGGGGAACCUGCGGUUGGAUCACCUCCUUACCUUAAAGAA